UGGGGAAUAUUGGACAAUGGGCGCAAGCCUGAUCCAGCCAUGCCGCGUGAGUGACGAAGGUCUUCGGAUUGUAAAACUCUUUUGGCGGGGACGAUAAUGACGGUACCCGCAGAAUAAGCCCCGGCUAACUUCGUGCCAGCAGCCGCGGUAAUACGAAGGGGGCUAGCGUUGUUCGGAAUCACUGGGCGUAAAGCGCACGUAGGCGGAUGUGCCAGUCAGGGGUGAAAUCCCGGAGCUCAACUCCGGAACUGCCUCUGAUACUGCACGUCUUGAGUUCGAGAGAGGUGGGUGGAAUUCCUAGUGUAGAGGUGAAAUUCGUAGAUAUUAGGAAGAACACCGGUGGCGAAGGCGGCCCACUGGCUCGAUACUGACGCUGAGGUGCGAAAGCGUGGGGAGCAAACAGGAUUAGAUACCCAAGUAGUCCCUGAGCGGGCUGGCAAGGCGCAU
rnacentral:rRNA from 1 species